UAUUACAUAGGUUGGAUUUGGGUUGACAGAUUUUUGGCAACAUAUUUUCGACCCAACCCAUAUCUAGUCCAACCUGACCCGAUUGCCACCCCUUCUUGCAGGAGAUUCCCGAGUCAUAUUGCUUCAUGCUAUUGCCAUACUAUGGUUUUCUUGUAAACAAAGCCAUAGCACCCUACUUUUUGGAGGUCCAUUGGAAGGCUAUGGAUAUACAUAUACAUACACAGGUAUACAUACAUACAUACAUACAUACAUACAUACAUAUAUAUAUAUAUAUAUAAUAUAAUAUAACUAGUGGUGCUUUCCCUUUCCUGUUUCAUCUAGAUGGCCUCUCUAAUCAUUGCUGAGUAAGCAUAAAGCAUGGCUAUGGCAGGCUGCUGCAGGUCUUGGCAAGGCAUGGCUGCAGGCUGGGCAGCAGACUGGGCAGGGCAUGGUUGCUGCAGUGGCUUGGCAGGGCUGGCUGACCAUGGCUGCGGUGUUGCAGGGGCUGGCAGG
rnacentral:lncRNA from 1 species